ensembl:lncRNA
AAGCCAUACAGGCCAUAGUAAAAUGUUAUUCUUUCCAUUUUUGCUUAUGUUGAAUUCAUAAAAGAUUAGAUGUUUUGAUUCUGUCAUAAACACAGGUUUAACCCAGACUGAGUGAUAUUAUUCAAUGACUUCACAUGUCGACUUUUUAAAAAUAGCCCACUAAUUUCCAGUUAGUUUAGAUAGCUGUUAGCUACUGUCAACUAACAGACGAACUUAAAAAUGCUUAAAACAGUACACUAAAGUUCUCGUGGUAUAUUUGAAGUGCUAAAGAUAUAGGCCUAGGUGUUUUGUCGAAUUCUGAUCCAGAUCCUGACAAGGCGCGCUAGCAUAUGCACCUGCAAGCUCUUUGAUGGUUUUAACAAUUAGCCUAUAGAUGUGCAAUUGAAUCUUGUUACGUGUAAGCUUCGUAUACGCCUCUACCUAAAAUCUGAUUAGCCUAUAUGGAUAAGUUGCGUUUAUUUCUUUGCGUAUUCGCGGAUAGAACGAAACCGACGAGCUUUCUUUUUAGUCUUCCCAUAUGCCAAUUCAAAACAGCGAGCGAAUUAAGAUGGGCGUAACUCUAAAUGGAUCAUGCACGCGGACUUUGGAACAAUAACUCAUCAAUUCACGAUGAGAAGCCGUUUAAGCGCGAGCUGCUUGAGUUUCUGCACACGUCCACGCACGGGGACCAGCGACAGACUCGAUCACAGUAGUCCUCGGAGUAGUAGUAGCACUGGAUACUUGGCAGGAAUCUCGAGAACAUGUUGUGCACUUGAGCGUCAGAUCACUCAAGCCAGAAGCCAAUGGCUGUUUGCAACUAAUUGACAUCAGUGCUUUUCGUGACGUAGAUGCGAGUUAUUCUCGGGAAUAGUUCAUGGUUUUAACAAAUGCAUUGCUGCAAAGACCUCCGCCUUUACCAGUUUUUGACAUUUGCUUGUGGAUUAGAUUCUAUGGUGUUAUGGAUCACCUCAAGUUUGGCACUCAGAGAUGAGGGUUCAUCAUUGUCCACUAAGAGGAAAAGGAGACCUUGGGAAUCAGUGAUAAAACACAGAAAUGAACUGACCUCAGAUCAGGAGUCGGAAGACGAGCGGAGAGUGGGAGUAGCGAUAGUGGUGGAGGAGUGAACCCGGAGCAGGU